rnacentral:sRNA from 1 species
UAAUUUGUCCUUUUCUGCCUUCACGAGGUU